AUUGAACGCUGGCGGCAGGCCUAACACAUGCAAGUCGAGCGGAUGAAGGGAGCUUGCUCCUGGAUUCAGCGGCGGACGGGUGAGUAAUGCCUAGGAAUCUGCCUGGUAGUGGGGGAUAACGUCCGGAAACGGGCGCUAAUACCGCAUACGUCCUGAGGGAGAAAGUGGGGGAUCUUCGGACCUCACGCCAUCAGAUGAGCCUAGGUCGGAUUAGCUAGUUGGUGGGGUAAAGGCCUACCAAGGCGACGAUCCGUAACUGGUCUGAGAGGAUGAUCAGUCACACUGGAACUGAGACACGGUCCAGACUCCUACGGGAGGCAGCAGUGGGGAAUAUUGGACAAUGGGCGAAGGCCUGAUCCAGCCAUGCCGCGUGUGUGAAGAAGGUCUUCGGAUUGUAAAGCACUUUAAGUUGGGAGGAAGGGCAGUAAGUUAAUACCUUGCUGUUUUAACGUUACCAACAGAAUAAGCACCGGCUAACUUCGUG
rnacentral:rRNA from 1 species